GGGGGUAUAGCUCAGCUGGGAGAGCAGCAGACUGAAGUAAAUGUAAUCAUGUUGGGGUUUCAUUCUGAAGGUCCCGCGUUCGAUCCGCGGUACUCCCA